UUCUCAAAAAAAGAAUUUUAGUCCAACCUAAAGUUAUAUAAAUUUCCAUAAAUUUUUCCCCCCCACUUUAGAGCAACUCAAAUGAGGUACAGCCCAUUUGAUACAGGAUCCAACCUUUACUAACGGGUAAUACCUGAUUCCACCCCAAGUAGGCUUAAGAGCAGCCACCUUUUAAAAAGCGUCAAACCUUAACUGUAUUAACACCAAUUCACAAACCCCCAUCGACCCCUUUCACCCUACUGAGAACUUCUAUAAAAUUAUAGAACCUUUAAUGUUAAAACUAGUAACAAGAGAUAUACCCUCUCUGUAAUGUAAACUAAAGCCAGCAAGAACCCAUCACUGGCAAUCAACAGAAACAAAGUAGUAAAUUUCUCCAGAAAACUCUACUCCCCUAACUGUUAACCUAACACAAGAACAUUCUAAGAAAGAUUUAAAGAAAAAGAAGGAACUCGGCAAACAUUAAUCUCGCCUGUUUACCAAAAACAUCGCCUCUUGUCACCCAUAAGAGGUCCAGCCUGCCCAGUGACUCUUGUUCAACGGCCGCGGUAUCCUAACCGUGCGAAGGUAGCGUAAUCACUUGUCUUUUAAAUAGAGACUUGUAUGAAAGGCACCACGAGGAUUAAGCUGUCUCCUCUCUCCAAUCAGUGAACCUAAUCUCCCCGUGAAAAAGCGGGAAUUUUUAUAUAAGACGAG
rnacentral:rRNA from 1 species